rnacentral:rRNA from 1 species
AACGAACGCUGGCGGCAUGCCUAACACAUGCAAGUCGAACGAGACCUUCUGGUCUAGUGGCGCACGGGUGCGUAACGCGUGGGAACCUGCCCUUAGGUUCGGAAUAACUCCCCGAAAGGGGUGCUAAUACCGGAUAAUGUCUUCGGACCAAAGAUUUAUCGCCUUUGGAUGGGCCCGCGUUGGAUUAGCUAGUUGGUAGGGUAAAAGCCUACCAAGGCGACGAUCCAUAGCUGGUCUGAGAGGAUGAUCAGCCACACUGGGACUGAGACACGGCCCAGACUCCUACGGGAAGCAGCAGUGGGGAAUAUUGGACAAUGGGCGAAAGCCUGAUCCAGCAAUGCCGCGUGAGUGAUGAAGGCCUUAGGGUUGUAAAGCUCUUUUACCCGGGAUGAUAAUGACAGUACCGGGAGAAUAAGCGCCGGCUAACUCCGUG